rnacentral:lncRNA from 1 species
GCAUUAAUCAUGCUCCCAUAUCUAAUGCUGCAAAAGAAGAGGUCCAAUAUAUUGAUACAAACGUAUUGGAAAAUUAUCAUAACAAAACUAAACUAGGGUUACAAUGAGAUUUUUAUAAGUAAAACAAGUCCAAUAUAGGAUGCCUGAAACAAGGGUGCUAACCAAGUACUCACAAGUCACAAAGUUCACACUUUAGGGGGUGGGGCAGGGUUUGGAACAAGGGCUACUCACCAUAGCUUAACAUCUACAAAAGAAGUUCAUUCUCCUAGAAAGUUUUAUUUCACUCUCACCUCACAUCAUAGGACAGGAGAGUCGGUCUCUGGAUAGGUGGCCUCUCUUUUUCCAAAAACUAGCCCUGCCACCUGAAGAAAAGCUCCACAUGUGCCCAAACAUCAUCUACUGAACCAAAAAAAUCACAAAACCAACAAAAUCAAACACCACAGUUCAACAAAAAAAUGGUUCACCGUCUCAUUGUCCUUUAUGCAUAAAGAAAAUAUAACAUUUCCUUACCAUCUGACCAUUACAUAGGACCAACAAUCUCCAUCAUCUCCCCAUCUCCUCCUCCUCUUUGAUGGAUCUAUAAAUAGUAAAACUUCUUCAGACACCACUUGAAUAAAGCUGCAGUGUACCAAACCUUCUUUCUAGGAUAGCUACUUCAUCUUUACUCCAACAUGGUUAAGAGAAACAAAUAUCUAAAGAGGGUCUUUUGUUUUUUCAAAAGCCUCCAUCUACAAGUCCCCCGUCCCCACCAAUCCAUACCCUCAAAUAAAACCUCUUUAUACAAAUCUAUGUCCCAACCCCUGCUGCUUUCCAAGUUUCCACAAAACAAAUCAUAUAUCAAAUAACAUUCACAACCUCAUGUGUGAUCAUAGCCCAACCUUCGGGACACUUCUUCAAGUGCGUGUUGAGCCAGGUUGCAAUGGCUCACAUGCAUGUAAAAUAUUACCAGGGAUGGUGAAAAUCUAGUUCAUAAGCCUAAUUUUAAGGAAACUCUAAUUUCAAGCACUAUAUGGAUUAGAUAGCACCCUAUCUCUCAUAAAUAUGGAAUUUGGAAUAAAUCCUAAGUUCAAAACACACAUGAAGCCAGGUGCCAGGCAUGACAAUACAUAUGUCUUGACAUUACAUUCCAAGGCUGAAAAAAUCAGCAACAUUUUACACCGAUUUUAGUUUGAUUUCACACGUACACACAUAACCAACAAUAAAUUUAAAUAUUUACUAGCUCCAUGUGAGUGAAAAAAAUAAACAUAAAUAACAAACAAAAAGAUAAAAAAAAAAAAAACAAGAAAUCGAGUAGGUAGCACGCAUACAGCGGUUACGGUUACAUACACACACAAAACCUUUCAAUAUUUAGAGGCGAAUAAAAAGACAUGUAUGGAAGCUGGGGAAGAAACAAAAGUUGAAUGGCACUUAAGACGGUUGUUACUUGUUGAUAAGCUUUUAGGUCUCUGUGGAUACUUAUUGCUAGAUCCACAUAAGACCAUUAGUUAUCAUGUACGAGCCAUUGGAAAGUGGCUCAAGGUGAAGACCCAUAGUGUCUAAAGCCAUUAAUGGAACUUGACUACCAUUUCUAUUGACUUUUUAUGGAUUAAAUCUCGGAUUUUUCUCCUCGUAUUGGGGACAACAACAUAAAGGAUGGUUGUUUCCCGAACCGGUAUAGGUUUAACAAUGAAGAUUUAAUCCAUAAAAAGUCAAUAGAAAUGGUAGUCAAGUUCUAUUAAUGGCUUUAGACACUAUGGGUCUUCACCUUGAGCCACUUUCCAAUGGCUCGUACAUGAUAACUAAUGGUCUUAUGUGGAUCUAGCAAUAAGUAUCCACAGAGACCUAAAAGCUUAUCAUGUAUUGGCCAUUCAAAGUGAUUCUAAGGGAUUUAAAGCAAAACUUUAGAUUUAAAAGCCAUUUAUGAACUCCAACUACUUGUAUUUAAUGCACGAGAGUUUUCCACUUUUGCAUCUGGACUUUUCACCUAGCUUCCUUCACUCCAAGAAACCAAAGGUUUAGCCUCUCAUCCUCUGGGAAAACUUCCUCAGAGGUUGUUUGGCUUCCAAGAAAAAGAAAAUAGAAAAGAGAAGGAAAAACAGAGCAAGGCUCUGUAUAUUCUAUAUAUUGAUCGAUUCUACAUACUUAUAUAUCUAUAUAUUUCACAAUGGAUGCAAGGGAAUAUAUAUAGAGAAGUUUUUCCAAGCUUCCUAGCUAAGAAAUCUCAUGGUUGGUGGAUUACAAGGAGAAGAAUGGAAAUUUAUACAAAAAUAUCUAAAGAAAAGAUCUAAAAGAGUCGGUGCACAAAUAUCCCAGUUCGCAUGUAGAUUUCCCACGUUGCAUGGUGACUUGCGAAAAUCUCGCAAGUUGAUUUCGCAACUUGGAAUCCAUUUUCGCACGUUGAGCUCCAAGUUCGUUGCAAAAUUACUUUCUCAAGUUGGGCUUCUCUGUGACUGUGCGGCUGUAUUCCAUUUCCAUUUCGCAAGGUAGGCUUUAAUUUCGCACGUUGGAGUUCCAAAUUCGCAAGAUGCGAAUUUGUCCUUCAGCUGGAUGCAGUUGUCUUGAGAAGGCCAUAUCUUCCUCAUUUCAGCUCCAAUUCGUACACCGUUUGAAGCAUUGGAUUCUUGACUUCCUGAGAUUUGAAAUGGUAUAUAGCAUGUAGAAAAUGGACUUCGGGAAGUGCUCCAAAAGUGCAAAAGAAGACUGCAGCUGCUGUCCUCUAUUUUCUUCACUCUGUUUUUCCUCUCUCCGUUGUUCUUUCCUUACAUACUUUGAACGACUUUGGCAAAGGGCUAUGAAGCUCCAAAGCUUGGUUCUUCAUGAAUUUGAGCUUCCAAAAGCUUUGCCAUGAACUAUAUACAGCUCUCCCUCAUUCUUGGAUUGCUUUGGUGUAGCUAAAAGCUAUCAAAAACACCAAAACUUAACACAAUUUGAUUAGAAACGAUUGCAAGGGUCCUUAACAUGCCAAUUGAGUUAAAAGGUAAUAAUUACUACUCAAGAGUGUUUAAAAGAGUUAAUUACAAGCUACAAAAUAGCACUUUUUGAGUAGUAAUUACUUGUAGCUUAAGGGAGUUCAUUUUUUAUUUUUUAUUUUCAAGAAACCGAAUCAAAUAAGCCAUAAGAAUUAAUUCUUUUCUUUUCCAUGAUUUUCUCCGCAACCAAACACACAAUUAUCUUAAAAAAAGCAUUAAAAUAACACCAAACCUGAAAAUUCUUGCCAUGCAAAGCAAAAUCCAGAUGCAAAAAUUAGUCAAACCAAAAAAAAUAUUUCAAAAUUAUUAAAUCCUUGUUUGGAUGAAAACACAGAGGAAUGCAUUAUUUUUUUUUCAAAAAAACUAGACUUUGAACCAAAAACUUCCAUUUCUUAUAUAUUCCCCAGCUUUUCUCUGGAACCAAACCAGAAACCUAAAAAAAUUCCCAUUCUCACCAAACAAAACUUAUGGUUCCAAAUCCGAGUAUCCGAAAACAAGAAAACGAGAUCCACCCAACAAAAACCCAGAAAAAAGUGACGAUAAUUACGAAGAAGGAGAGUAGGAGAGAGCCAGAGGUGAUUACAGAUGAGGGAUCAGGAUCUUAGCCAGCGAUGACGAGGAGCUGCAUUGUGAAAUGUUAGCCAUGGAUUACACCGGAAAGCAUGGAUCGUACGACCAGAAUUGCGUAUGAGCUUUCGGCUCUGCUUUUGCUUCCGUUUUCUCCUCGGUAGGAGAAAGAAGAGUGAGCAACAAAGGACA